GUGAGGAAUAUUGGUCAAUGGGCGAGAGCCUGAACCAGCCAAGUAGCGUGCAGGAUGACGGCCCUAUGGGUUGUAAACUGCUUUUACACGGGGAUAAAGUGUGCGACGUGUCGUUCAUUGCAGGUACCGUGCGAAUAAGGACCGGCUAAUUCCGUGCCAGCAGCCGCGGUAAUACGGAAGGUCCGGGCGUUAUCCGGAUUUAUUGGGUUUAAAGGGGGCGUAGGCCGUCUGUUAAGCGUGUUGUGAAAUGUAGAUGCUCAACAUCUGAAUUGCAGCGCGAACUGACCGACUUGAGUGCGCAGGAAGUAGGCGGAAUUCGUGGUGUAGCGGUGAAAUGCAUAGAGAUCACACAGAAUAUCGAUUGCGAAGGCAGCUCACAAAGCCAAUAUUGACGCUGAGGCACGAAAGUGUGGGGAUCAAACAGGAUUAGAUACCCGGGUAGUCC
rnacentral:rRNA from 1 species